rnacentral:tRNA from 1 species
GAGGGUAUAGCUCAGUGGUAGAGUACAUGCUUAGCAUGCAUGAGGUCCUGGGUUCAAUCCCCAAUACCUCCA